rnacentral:rRNA from 1 species
GACGAACGCUGGCGGCGUGCUUAACACAUGCAAGUCGAACGAAGUGGCGAACGGGUGAGUAACGCGUAAUCAACCUGCCCUUCAGAGGGGGACAACAGUUGGAAACGACUGAUAAUACCGCAUACUGAAGGAGGGGAGUGCGUCUGAUUAGCUAGUUGGAGGGGUAACGGCCCACCAAGGCGAUGAUCAGUAGCCAGUCUGGGAGGGUGAAAGGCGACAUUGGAACUGAAACACGGCACAGACUCCUACGGGAGGCAGCAGUGGGGAAUCUUCCGAAAUAGACGAAAGUCUGACGGAGCAACGCAGCGUGAGUGAUGACUGCCUUCGGGUUGGAGAGCUCUGUUAAUCGGGACGCGGUACCGGAAUAGAAAGCCACGGCUAACUACGUGCCAGCAGCCGCGGUAAUAC